rnacentral:precursor_RNA from 14 species
GACUCCACCCAAGGUUGAAUGCUUUGCUAAAGCUGGUAAAAUGGAACCAAAUCAACUGUUGAAUGGAUUUGGUCCCCUUCAACCAGCUGCAGCUGUGCAUUGAUCGCUCUGACGCCGCUG